rnacentral:rRNA from 1 species
UGGGGAAUAUUGCACAAUGGGGGAAACCCUGAUGCAGCGACGCCGCGUGAGCGAAGAAGUAUUUCGGUAUGUAAAGCUCUAUCAGCAGGGAAGAAACUGACGGUACCUGACUAAGAAGCACCGGCUAAAUACGUGCCAGCAGCCGCGGUAAUACGUAUGGUGCAAGCGUUAUCCGGAUUUACUGGGUGUAAAGGGAGCGUAGACGGAUGUGCAAGUCUGGAGUGAAAGCCCGGGGCUCAACCCCGGGACUGCUUUGGAAACUGUAGAUCUAGAGUGCUGGAGAGGUAAGUGGAAUUCCUAGUGUAGCGGUGAAAUGCGUAGAUAUUAGGAGGAACACCAGUGGCGAAGGCGGCUUACUGGACAGUAACUGACGUUGAGGCUCGAAAGCGUGGGGAGCAAACA